UGGGGAAUAUUGGACAAUGGGCGCAAGCCUGAUCCAGCCAUGCCGCGUGAGUGAUGAAGGCCUUAGGGUUGUAAAGCUCUUUCGGCGGGGACGAUAAUGACGGUACCCGCAGAAGAAGCCCCGGCUAACUUCGUGCCAGCAGCCGCGGUAAUACGAAGGGGGCUAGCGUUGCUCGGAAUCACUGGGCGUAAAGGGCGCGUAGGCGGUCAUAUAAGUCAGGGGUGAAAGCCUGUGGCUCAACCACAGAAUUGCCUUUGAUACUGUAUGACUAGAGACCGGAAGAGGUAAGUGGAAUUGCGAGUGUAGAGGUGAAAUUCGUAGAUAUUCGCAAGAACACCAGUGGCGAAGGCGGCUUACUGGUCCGGAUCUGACGCUGAGGCGCGAAAGCGUGGGGAGCAAA
rnacentral:rRNA from 1 species